rnacentral:tRNA from 1 species
UCAGUUUAUAGCUUAAUAAAAGCAUCUUGCUUACACCAAGAAAACACCCGUUAAACUUGGGUUAAAUUG